AUACACCAGUGCAUAACCCGCAUAUUGAAGGGGCUACAUGCAAUACCUCGUAUAGGGGUAACCAUCCUUCAAGGAUAUUUACCGUUUUUUACUGCGCUAAAGUCGGCAUUUCUCUACUACUCUUACUUUAAAAAUUUUCCAAAAUUGUUGAGUUUUAUCUGUUUUCCUGUAAUUUUCAGUUGAAAAUACUUACAAAGAAUCUACACCUCCGAGCGGUUGAAGUUGAAGAACUACUCGGGUGAAAGAAACCCUAACAUCUACUUUAGCUGAAUGUCACAAUGAAAUCAUAUGUUUAAGGAACAACUGUCAGGAAUUCCGAGAAAUGCUCACAGCUCAAGAGAAGACGACAACCAGGUCACACCAUAAUAUCUCAACUGAUGACUCGUUCCACAGUCCUCAGCCAGAGAUAAUCGAAUCUCUGGCAGGGGUUGUGGACCUCCAGCUUCAAGAAGCUAAGGAAGAGUUGGUUAAAAAGGAUGAUUUCAUUAAAGACCUCGAAUCUGCUUUAGAACAUGAACACAAAGAAGUUCUGCGACUGAGCAGAGAAGCUGCACAACUUCAAGACAGUCUAAAUGAAGCUAACAAGCAGGUGAUGGUUUUGCAGGAAGACAUUGACGAAAAAGAAACAGCUGUGUUGACUAUGAGCUCUAACUUUACCAACGAACGCAACCUAAAUGAAGCACUCAAUGCAAAAUUAGUUGAAAUGGAAUUUGAGGCUAAUAAGAAUACUGAAAACAUUGUUAAAACCAAGGAUGUAAUCCUCAAGUUGGAAAAAGAGCUUGCUUGUGUGAAAACGGCACUUACACAAGCAGAAAAGGAUAAAAGUGAAGCUGUUCAGCAGUGGACAGGAGAAACUAGAAAACUAGGAAAUGAUUUAGCCAAGGUGUUCAAACAGAAAACGGACCUUCAAAAUGCUCUGGAUGAAAAACAGGCUGAACUUAGUGCUUUAAGAUUGGUGUGCGAAAGUGAAAAAAGUCGCAAUCAGUGCUUAGAAAGGAAUCUCACACGAGUUGAAUUUUCUCUGAAUCAACAGUCCAUUGAAAUAGCUGAAAGCAAAGAUAUUAUUAGAAGGUUAGAAGAAACAAGGUCUGAAGCUCAGCAUACUAUUUCGUCGUUGGAAGAAGAAAGAAAACAAAGUCAAAUUCUAUGGAUGGAAGAUCGUAAGAAACUUCAGGGCGAUUGUGAUGAAUUACUAAAACAAAAUGAAGCUCUACGCCAAGAGACUAAAGAAAUUGGAGUUCGUCUAUUUAACGUAAAUUUAAAUCUUGAAAAAAGAACUUUGUCAUAGCAAAAACCUCAGUAACAAGAUUGCUGAAUAUGACUCCCUCCUGUCUGAAAAGAUGAAAUUACUAUCAGACAAUAAUGGUGCUCUUUUGAGACUAGAAGAAGAAUUGAGUCAUCUGAAAACGGAAAAUGUGCAGUUGAAAGAGACUUUACAAGAGAUGGAAACUCAGCGGAUCGAAGAAAUCCUUAAACUUGAAGACCUAAAUAGGAAGCUGUCUGAAGACAAUUGUACCCUGUCUCUGGAUAUUCAAGGGAAAGAAGUAGAGAUUUUGAAUUUUAAAUCGAAAUACGAAGAAGAGUCAUGCAAAAAUGAGCAACUUGAAAAAAGACAGAUUAACUUGGAGCGGUCUCUUUCUGAUUUGUCAAAGAUGAUCACUGUAAGUGAUGAAACUUGCAGAAAUGAACAUGAAAAACUACUUGCAUUGCAAUCCGCUUUUUCAACUUUAGAGGAUGAGAAGAAGAGAGAGGAAAACCAGCUGAAUGAAGAAAUCACGAAACUUCAAUCGGAUGUAGCAAAAUUAGCAGAGAAAUGUAAUACCCUUCAGGGACACCUUGACUCAAAGUCCAAAGAAUUAUGCAACAUCCGUCAUGAUUACGAAAAAGAACUUGGUCGAAAUCAAGCUCUCCGUGAAGACUUACUUAAAGCAGAAUUUAUGUUUGACAAUAACCUUUCCGAGAAAGAAGACAUCAUUUCAAAGCUAAAUGAAGAGUUUAAAAAAUUAAAGUCGGCUCAAUCUGAGGCCAAAAUGGAUUUUCUUGCAAGGGAAGCUCAAUUCAUGGGCGAAGUAGCAUCCCUUAAACUCGAUUUUAAGGAAGUAACGGAACUGAUCAACACUUUACAAUCAAGGCUUCAGAACUUACAAGAUAAGCUUUUGUCCAUUGAAUCAGUCCAAGAAUAUGAACGGGAACAAAUCAAUGCCUCAUCAAAAAGUAAUAGAGUUAGAAUUCUCUCUCUCAGAAAAAGUAAAAGAUAUCCGUGAUAAUAAAGAAAUGCAAAACAAACUUUGUCAAAAAAUUACAGAUUCUAUUGCAAACUGUUCAAAGCUUGAAGAACAGAAGAGUGAAUUGGAAAAUCUAGUCCUGAGGCUUCAAACUAGUAUAGGUGAAGCGGGUGAGCGAACCACCUUGCUGCAAGAAGGAAUGCGAAAUAAACAAAAUGAAGUUUUCGCCAUUCAAUUAGAUCUUGAAAAUGAGCGUUGUUUAAACAAAGAACUUCAUGAGAAACUGACUUGCUUUGAAGUUUCCCUCUCUGAAAUGUCGCAAAUGAUGACUGUUACAAAAAAAGCCCUUGCCGAAGCCACACAAGAAUUGACCAGUCAAAAGUCAAUGCUUUUAAGUUUAGAACAAGAAAAGUUACAGCUUACUAUUAGUUUAGAAGAGAAGAGUAAGUUGGAGAAAACUUUGAAGCAAGAGCUUGAAGCCAAAGCUUCACAGCUUGUCACCACCAUUUCUAAGUGUGAUUAUGAAUGUAAGCAGAAGCAACUUCUGAGUACGAACUUACACGAACUUGAGUUCUCUCUCGGAGAAACCGUCAAAGAUCUCAAUGACAGCAAAGAAAUGAUUCAGAAGUUAAAUGAUGAGUUGAACAAUUUCAGAAGCACCUAUUCUAGAGCAGAAGAAAAUGAAAAAAUGAAAUUACUUCAAUGGAAUGAAGAGACCGAUCAAAUACGCUUUGAAUUGGACAAUACCUUACAGCUUGUUGAUACCCUGAAACAAGACGUUGAAGAAAAACGUGCAGAGAUUUUGACAAUGAAGUUGAAUCAAAAAAUGAGCAAAACAGAAGUCAGCAGCUCAACAAAAAAAUAGUUGAACUAGAACAGUGUCUUAGUGAAAAGGAAAAAGAACUCAAAAUGAGUUCAGAAACAUCAAAGAAUCUUGAAGAAGAUAUGAAGUCCUUGAAGUCAAAAUUCGUGGAGUUUGCGGAAAACAACAACCAAGUUGUUUCCAACAUGAAAGGAGAGUUCCACCAAAUGGAGAACUUCUUUAAAGAUCUCACCAAAGAAAACAAUGAGUUGAAAACUGAACUGAGCAAAAGGUCAACAGAUAUUCAGGAUAUUAAUAGAAUAAAUGAUUUAAAGACAGCUGAAAAUUCAAAGACUUUGGAUGAGCUCAAGGUGCUAUAGAAAGAAUCAGGGAAUUGGAAAAUGAGAAUACUGAAUUGAAGGAAGCCUACAGUAAAUUAUUAGAUGAUCUUGAAAGGUAAGAAAAUCAACUUCUCAUUAAUCUCAGUUGUUUUCUUCUUUUUGUUCAUUGUUUUUUUUAUGUAUUAAUUACGAAUGUACAACUAUUACCUGUAUUUGU
rnacentral:lncRNA from 1 species